AAACUUUUGGGAAAGAGUACUGAUAACCGCUAUCAGGAAUCAUGCCCUUUUUUUGUGAAGCAUUCGGGGGGGAGUACCCCUACAUGCUCUGAAGCAGAUUGGUGAUGAAAAUAAGUCAAGGACGGAGAACAGCUGGGGGCAUGAAAGAACCACGGUGAAGUCCUAAAUGAUCCUGAAUAGGAAGAACACUGAGGGUGAAUAUCCUCUGCUGUGAUAGGCUGAAGCUUGCUGCUGAGCAGUGUACCUGUGCCAAAGCUGUCACUGUUCUGUUGAAAACUGCUGCAGUGAUCUCCUUCAAGGCAAGCGUGUCGAAGUAAUUAUGGGACUCUAUAGGCCUGCUUUACUUAAAGCAGUUAGCAUGGGUUGGUCCCAAUGAGGACCUUGCACUUAAGACUGUACCUCCUUGAACUGAAUGAGAAGUUCCGGAUCACGUAGUGCCUGGAAACUUGGGCUUAAGUUCAAAUGUGAAUGCUGUGGAAAGCUGAUAAGGCCAUGGGAGGCUUUCUGGGUGGGUUUGCCCUGGCCCUGCUAACAUGGAAUUUGCUCUUUGGCUUGAUAAUGCCAUAGAGACAUUAGCAAAGACCAUUAACCAAGCUUCCAGAUGAGGUAUCCGGCUGCCUGCACACGUUUUUUAGGGCUGUAAGAACACUUGACAAGAUGCUGUCUGCAACUCACGCCCCACUGCAUGGAUUCUCAUGAGACAAGGGUAUUACUACCGCAAGCUGAGUCAAAUUCUCUGCUAGCACCUCCCUGCACUGAUGAUUACAGUUGGCAGCUGCUAGUCAGUUCUUUGCUGCUGCUAAUGGAGGGCACUUCAUGUUUUCCACCAAGAGUACAAAGAGCCGGGGGUGGUGGUGAGGUUCUUUGAGUAUGCAGUAAACUGGGGGCUCCUCCUAUUGCUGCUGCCUCUGCAUUAUGCAGCUGAUGCAAUGAUGCUGGGGGGGAGGGCAGAAGGACCCUUCAAGUACCCAUGCUAUUGUGGCAAGGCUCUGGUCUUCCCUUGCUCCCAGGCUCUCACAUGGCUCUCUGCCAAAUCUCCUCUCCUUCAGCAUGGUGCUGUCAAUCAUCCUGGCCCCUCCAGCCCUUGCUGACUCCUCACAGCCUCAGAUGCUGUCAAUGCUCCAUCCCACAGCCCCUUUUCUCCUCUUCCGCACAUGGUUCUCAGCCCUUCCCCUUUUGGUGGUGCUGCUGCUGCCUGGUAUGCCUGGGUGCUGCACCAAGCCCUUCUGUCCCUGCACAGCGGCCAUGUCUCCCUGCUCCCUUACAGCACUGCUCAGCUAUCCAUACCUGUUCAGACCCCCAUGUUUCCUCCAUGCCCCCCCUCCACAAACACACACCCCAGAUCAAUUCUUGCUGCCCACUCUGCUGAGUGAGCUGGAGAGUUACGUUCUUAAGGAUGGGCUUGUUUCUCUGCCAAAGUUAGUAACUAUUUUUUAAAGAAAAGAUGAUUGAGAAUUCACUUGGCCAAUGAAGGGUAAGUCUGUUGAAUUUGCAGACUAAAUGUAAAUAUUGAUGUGAAAGAGAGAGAUGAUAUUCUUGCUCUAAGUGCAAAUCUGAGCACAGCCUUAACUAUAGCUCUUCUAGGAACCUCCAUCACUCAAUGGCAUGAAAUGUUUGUAUAAGGUUCUUCUGCUGUCCUGUAGCUAAGAACAUAAGAAUGGCCAUACUGGGUCAGAUCAAAGGUCCAUCCAGCCCAGUAUCCUGUCUGCUGACAGUGGCCGAAGCCAGGUGCCCCAGAGGGAAUGAACCUAACAGCUAAUGAUGAUCCAAGUGAUCUCUCUCUUGCCAUCCAGCUCCACCCUUUGACAAACAGAGGCUAGGGACACUGACAGAGGCUAGGGACACCAGCUGUUUGAGGUCUGAUAACACUUCUGCACAGUGACAAGUCAAUUAAUCAGUUUUGCUUAUAAAAGUCUCAUUCCAGUUGUCCUGUGUCCUCAUCCCAAAUUUAUACCACACAUGAGGUCCUGGAGCCUCCACCUGCCCUGAGCAGGGAGCUGGGGUGCCUGAGAGCAGCUCUGGCCUGUGUCCCCGCCCCCAGGGCAUGCUGCCCAGGGCAGGUGGUGGGUCCAGGGCUCCCCACAGCGGUGCAGGCUUCUUGGGCAGCUCUUACUACUGCCCAGCCCCCGUCCUCUGGCCAGGCCAGAAGCUGGACCUUGGUGGGGAGAGGAAGCGGGGGGUGGGGCCUCGUGGUGGGGGCGGACAAAGGCCCACCUCAGCCCCUCCUCCCCCCACCGGGAAGAGGCUGGCGCUGCCUUGAGUCUCGGGCAGGCGUGGAGCAGCACCCCAGGAAAUCCGUGACAAAUGCUUCCCAGAGUUAUUCAUCUUGGGACUGAGAUUUGAACGCUGCAUUUUGGGACUUCCCCCCUCAACUUGGGACAGGUGGCCACCCUAUUUCUUCUACACAGACGCUUGGAAACACAACAUGAACAACCCAAGGACAAACCACCAGAAUUUUUAAAGCGGACGUUGGCACAGCUAAUUGCAAGCACAAAAGUUUUGCGCUCUGCUGCUGCUGACAGUAUGAAGGCCCUUGAAGUAUAAUACUUAGUGAAUUACGGAGUUGCAAAGUUAGGGAAACCUCACACCAUAUCAGAGGAACUAAUACUACUUGUGGCUGCAGACGUGGUAAGCACUAUGCUUGGAAAGAAGGCACAAAAAUUAAUUCAGUUAGUGCCAUUAUCAAACAACACGGUGUCACAUUGAAUUGAUGACAUGGCCAACGAUGUCCUAACUCAAUUAGUUAACCGUGUCAGUGGCCGCCAAUUCUUUGCUCUGUAGCUGGACAAAUCCACAGAUAUGAAUCAUAGAAUAUCAGGGUCGGAAGGGACCUCAGGAGGUCAUCUAGUGCAACCCCUUGCUCAAAGCAGGACCAAUCCCCAACUAAAUCAUCCCAGCCAGGGCUUUGUCAAGCAUGACCUUAAAAACACCUAAGGAAGGAUAUUCCACCACCUCCCUAAGUAACCCAUUCCAGUGCUUCACCAUCCUCCUAGUGAAAAAGUUUUUCCUAAUAUCCAACCUAAAACCUCCCCCACUGCAACUUGAGACCAUAACUCCUUGUUCUGUCAUCUGCUACCACGGAGAACUUUCUAAAUCCAUCCUCUUUGGAACCCCCUUUCAGGUAGUUGAAAGCAGCUAUCAAAUCCCCCCUCAUUCUUCUCUUCUGCAGACUAAAUAAUCCCAGUUCCCUCAGUCUCUCCUCAUAAGUCAUGUGUUCCAGUCCCCUAAUCAUUUUUGUUGCCCUCCGCUGGACAUUUUCCAAUUUUUCCACAUCCUUCUUUUAGUGUGGGGCCCAAAACUGGACACAGUGCUCCAGAUGAGGCCUCACCAAUGCCAAAUAGAGGGGAACGAUCACAUCCCUCGAUCUGCUGGCAAUGCUCCUACUUAUACAGCCCAAAAUGCCGUUAGCCUCCUUGGCAACAAGGGCACACUGUUGACUCAUAUCCAGCUUCUCGCCCACUGUAACUCCUACGUCCUUUUCUGCAGAACUGCUGCCUAGCAGUUCGGUCCCUAGUCUGUAGCGGUGCAUGGGAUUCUUCCAUCCUAAGUGCAGGACUCUGCACUUGUCCUUGUUGAACCUCAUCAGAUUUCUUUUGGCCCAAUUCUCUAAUUUGUCUAGGUCCCUCUGUAUUCUAUCCCUACCCUCCAGCGUAUCUACCACUCCUCCCAGUUUAGUGUCAUCUGCAAACUUGCUGAGGGUGCAAUCUACGCCAUCCUCCAGAUCAUUAAUGAAGAUAUUGAACAAAACCAGCCCCAGGACCGACCCUUGGGGCACUCUGCUUGAUACUGGCUGCCAACUAGACAUGAAGCCAUUGAUCACUACCUGAUGAUCUAGCCAGCUUUCUAUCCACCUUAUAGUCCAUUCAUCCAGCCCAUACUACUUUAAUUUGUUGGCAAGAAUACUGUGGGAAACCGUAUCAAAAGCUUUGCUAAAGUCAAAGAAUAACAUGUCCACUGCUUUCCCCUCAUCUACAAAGCUAGUUAUCUCAUCAUAGAAGGCAAUUAGAUUAGUCAGGCAUGACUUGCUCUUGGUGAAUCCCUGUGGACUGUUCCUGAUCACUUUCCUCUCCUCUAAGUGCUCCAAAAUGGAUUCCUUGAGGACCUGCUCCAUGAUUUUUUACAUGGCAGGCUUAGCUCACCUUCUAGUGUAUGUGCAGUACAUUUAUGAAGGUGCACUACAGGAGGACAUUUUGUUUUGCCUCUUGCUGCCUACCAGAACAAUAGCUGAGGAGAUUUUCUGGUUGCUUGACAGCUUCAUAAAUCAACAUAUCAUCUGGUUAUGAGGUAUUGGCAUAUGCACUGACAGAGCAAAGCCAAUGACUGGAAGGCCCAGUGGGGUAGUGAUAUGUGUCAGAUCAGUCGCUCCCAAUGUGAUGUGGUGCAUUGCAGCAUACAUAGGGAAGCACUUGCGCUAAAAGCAUGCCAAUCAACUUGAAGGAGGUGCUGGACAAUACGGGGAGGAUGGUAAACUUUAUAAAAGCUCGACCCUUAAAUCCCAGAAUCCUUUCUGCUCCAUGUAAUGAGAUGGGAAGCGAGCACAUCAAUCUAUUGCUCCACAUGGAGGUUUGAUGGCUGUCCCGGGGCAAGGUCUUGGCACAUUUCUUUGAACUUCACUCUGAGAUCAAUGUAUUCUUUACAGACCACCCAUUCCCACUCUUUCACUGACACGGCCUGGCUCUCACAACUGGGAUACUUGUCAGAUAUAGUCUCUUGCCUGAAUGAGCUAAAUUUAGGAUUUCGAGGGCUGAAUGCAACCAUCGUCAAUGCCCAGGACAAAAAUGAGUCAAUGACAAAAAAGCUGGAAUUCUGGGGUCGCUGCAUGGAGGAAACACUGAAAUUUUCCCAAACAUGCAUGAAUUCCUGACAGUGAAUGAACUACAGUUGCAGGACAGUGUUAAAGGUGAUAUCAAGCAAUGUCUUACUGAACUGAUGAGACAGUUAUGUGAGUACUUUCCCUCAAUGGGAAAUCCAAACAGAUGGGUCCACUACCCUUUCACAAGUUUUUCUGUAGUACUCAUGCUGCAAGACUUGUCAAUAAAAGAACAAGAGAAUCUCCUGAACAUCUCAGCUAAUGCCAGACUCAAGAGUGAGUUUGAACAAAAGCAGUUUGCUUGCAUUUGGAUCCAAAAUUAGCCGAGUUCCCCGAAUUAUCAGACAGGGCUGUCAAGGUUUUGAUGCCGUUUGCUACAACUUACCUGUGUGAAAGUGGUUUUUCAUCACUCACUGGAUAGAAAUCAAAGUAUCGUCAGCACCUUUGUGUAGAAAACAAUUUAUAACUCAAACUAUCACCUAUCACUCCAAAUAUUAUAGGCCUGUGCUUGGACAAACCACUUCAGCUGUCACAUUAAUGGUGAGUAGUACUAGUAAGCCAUUUUUAAGUUGGUCAAAAGAAAGCAUACAUUCAAACUAAAACCAUAAAUUUAUAUGUAUUAUUAUAGUCCUAUAUAUUGUGUAUAUAUGUGUAUUAUAAUUUGUACAUUUUGUACAAUGCUUGGGCAUUAAAAGGGUUAAAAUAUAAAACCUGUAUUCUACUAGCGGU